rnacentral:rRNA from 1 species
UUAUUUAAUGGCCGCGGUAUUUUGACCGUGCAAAGGUAGCAUAAUCAUUAGUUUAUUAAUUGUGGACUUGUAUGAAUGGUUGGACGAGAUAUUUACUGUCUCAUAUUUAUUUAUUGAAUUUAAUUUUUUAGUUAAAAAGCUUAAAUUUUAUUGUAAGACGAGAAGACCCUAUAGAUCUUUAUUUUUAUAAUUUAUUUAUUUUUUAGUUUCUUUUUUUAAAAGUUUUAUUAAAAGUUUUGUUGGGGUGACAUGGAGAUAAAAAUAACUCUUUAUUUUAUAUACAAUUAUUUUUGAUUUAUUGACCUUUUAUUAUUGUUUAAAGUUAUAGAUACCUUAGGGAUAACAGCGUAAUUUUUUCUGAGAGUUCUUAUCGACGAUAAAGAUUGCGACCUCGAUGUUGGAUUAAGAAUAUUUUAAGGUGUAGGUGCUUUAUCUUUAGGUCUGUUCGACCUUUAAAUUCUUACAUGAUCUGAGUCA